GCGUCGGUGGCGCAACGGUUUAGCACAUGCGCUCGGAACGGAUGGGAUCUGGGUUCAAAUCCCGGCUGACGCA